AGUACUCUUAAGUCUACUGAGCUUUUUUGUAUGGUGGCUGAUUGUAUGAUAGGAGCUUCCCUUAAGCAGGGUUAAACUUCAUAUUUGACAACAAUGCAGUAACUCUGCAGAAAGAUUGAUACUUUGCGAGUCCUUCAGGUCCUGUGUACAUUGUAAAGAGAAAUUACUUUUCUGUCAGUAUGAGCAGAGGUCCGAGCAGCUACAGAAGAACAGCACAGCCAUAUUUGCAUGUAUUAGGCAUCCAGCUUGCCCUCUUCAUCCACACAGGGAAAUCCAUGUCCAUUCUCCUGUUGGUGUGCAGAGCCCUGUGACUAAGACUGUGCUGUAAGAUAACUCACUGGCCCCACAAGACUAGCCGAAGAGGAAGCUCAAUCCUUACUCUGAUACCCUAAGUCAAAGCAAAAUGGCAGAAUCAACCUAAGAGAUGCCUAAACUUGACCAGCAUCUGGAACAAGAAGUUUUCUGGAUCAGCAUAGCAUUCAAAUCAGCAGAGACAUUAAAGGAAAAAAAGAAAAACAGUAAUUUUUCUCUUGGGAGAUUUAAGACGUUAUUUUAGCUUAGUUCAUUUUAUCUUGUUUCAUGCACAGUUUUUGUCUUUGUCCUUUUUUCUUCACCAGCUGGGAAUAAAAAUGUUAUUCAGUGAACACUUUUCUCUCAACUCAGGCUAAAUAAUUCAAGUUGGGAUUCUUACUGAGGUAAUUUCACUAUUCCUUGCCCACUAGGACAUCUUAUCCUCAGAUUUUCAGUCAAUUAGUUAUUCUGAGUAGUUUGGGAAUAGUUGUAGCUAUGAGGCCCUCUGUUGUCACUUCAGCCAUCCAGGAAACUUGAUAUGCCGUCCAGCAACCAUGCUGGAUAAUCAGAGAUGGAAAAACAAAUCUGCAUUAUUUUAGUUGAAAAUCUGCUAUGAAUUUUAAAAUGGCAUUGAUUUUUAGCUGAAUAGUGUCUCUAAGUUUUGUGUAAAUACAUCGUCAUCUUUUUUUUUCUCACUGUUUUUUUCUUUUUUAUCCAUUGUAGCAGAGCAAGCAUUGCACUUGAGUCCCAAAAUUUUUUGAAAUGUAUCAUGGUGGAUUUAUAACGAAUGUAUUUUUGUAUAUGUUUGGAAAAACAACAUAGUUUUAGGGCCUAAUCCCUCAGCCUGUCAUUCAAAUGUGAAAUCUGAUUGCCUUCAGUGAGACUCUUUGCAUUUUGCCUAAAAAUGUCUGUUCGGAGAGAUAUAGUAAACACAAAUUAAUGGA